AGGGAAGGUUAAGAAUAGUAUAAGAAAUUAAGAAGCCAAAGAACUUAUAUGCACGACCCAAGGACAUGGACUACAGGGGAGGUAUGAAGGUAGGAGAG